GACGAACGCUGGCGGCGUGCCUAAUACAUGCAAGUAGAACGCUGAAGGAGGAGCUUGCUUCUCUGGAUGAGUUGCGAACGGGUGAGUAACGCGUAGGUAACCUGCCUGGUAGCGGGGGAUAACUAUUGGAAACGAUAGCUAAUACCGCAUAAUAGCAGUUGUUGCAUGACAACUGUUUGAAAGGUGCAAUUGCACCACUACCAGAUGGACCUGCGUUGUAUUAGCUAGUUGGUGGGGUAACGGCUCACCAAGGCGACGAUACAUAGCCGACCUGAGAGGGUGAUCGGCCACACUGGGACUGAGACACGGCCCAGACUCCUACGGGAGGCAGCAGUAGGGAAGCUUCGGCAAUGGACGGAAGUCUGACCGAGCAACGCCGCGUGAGUGAAGAAGGUUUUCGGAUCGUAAAGCUCUGUUGUAGGAGAAGAACGAGUGUGAGAGUGGAAAGUUCACACUGUGACGGUAGCUUACCAGAAAGGGACGGCUAACUACGUG
rnacentral:rRNA from 1 species